rnacentral:rRNA from 1 species
AACGAACGCUGGCGGCAGGCUUAACACAUGCAAGUCGAACGCCCCGCAAGGGGAGUGGCAGACGGGUGAGUAACGCGUGGGAAUCUACCCAACUCUACGGAAUAACUCAGGGAAACUUGUGCUAAUACCGUAUACGCCCUUCGGGGGAAAGAUUUAUCGGAGUUGGAUGAGCCCGCGUUGGAUUAGCUAGUUGGUGGGGUAAAGGCCUACCAAGGCGACGAUCCAUAGCUGGUCUGAGAGGAUGAUCAGCCACAUUGGGACUGAGACACGGCCCAAACUCCUACGGGAGGCAGCAGUGGGGAAUAUUGGACAAUGGGCGCAAGCCUGAUCCAGCCAUGCCGCGUGAGUGAUGAAGGCCCUAGGGUUGUAAAGCUCUUUCACCGGUGAAGAUAAUGACGGUAACCGGAGAAGAAGCCCCGGCUAACUUCGUGCCAGCAGCCGCGGUAAUACGAAGGGGGCUAGCGUUGUUCGGAAUUACUGGGCGUAAAGCGCACGUAGGCGGGUAUUUAAGUCAGGGGUGAAAUCCCGGAGCUCAACUCCGGAACUGCCUUUGAUACUGGGUACCUANAGUAUGGAAGAGGUAAGUGGAAUUCCGAGUGUANAGGUGAAAUUCGUANAUAUUCGCAGGAACACCAGUGGCGAANGCGGCUUACUGGUCCAUUACUGACGCUGAGGUGCGAAAGCGUGGGGAGCAAACAGGUUAANGNUGNGAAAAGNCGNGGGGCAGNCAAACCAGGAUUUNNAUGCCCCUGGGUAGUNCCCCCCCCGUAAACNAANAAGGGCUANCCGUCGGGGCAUUUUNACUGUUNNGGUGCCGCAGGNUAACGCAUUAAGCCCCUCCCGCCNUGGGGAGUACGGGUCGNCAAAAUUAAAANUCAAAGGAAUUGACGGGGGCCCGCACAAGCGGUGGAGCAUGUGGUUUAAUUUGAAGCAACGNGCAGAACCUUACCAGCCCUUGACAUGCCGGUCGCGGACANUGGAGACGAUGUCCUUCAGUUAGGCUGGACCGGACACAGGUGCUGCAUGGCUGUCGUCAGCUCGUGUCGUGAGAUGUUGGGUUAAGUCCCGCAACGAGCGCAACCCUCGCCCUUAGUUGCCAGCAUUAGGUUGGGCACUCUAAGGGGACUGCCGGUGAUAAGCCGAGAGGAAGGUGGGGAUGACGUCAAGUCCUCAUGGCCCUUACGGGCUGGGCUACACACGUGCUACAAUGGUGGUGACAGUGGGCAGCGAGACAGCGAUGUCGAGCUAAUCUCCAAAAGCCAUCUCAGUUCGGAUUGCACUCUGCAACUCGGGUGCAUGAAGUUGGAAUCGCUAGUAAUCGCGGAUCAGCAUGCCGCGGUGAAUACGUUCCCGGGCCUUGUACACACCGCCCGUCACACCAUGGGAGUUGGUUUUACCCGAAGGUAGUGCGCUAACCGCAAGGAGGCAGCUAACCACGGUAGGGUCAGCGACUGGGGUGAAGUCGUAACAAGGUAGCC